rnacentral:rRNA from 1 species
ACCAGCAGUCAUAUCACCCAGCAGCUCUCAACUGGCAACCCACUGAAGCUAAGCAGGGUUGAGCAUGGUCAGUACCUGGAUGGGAGAACUCCUGGGAAGCUAUGGUUGCUGCUGGAA